CAAGGAUGCCUCAUACGGCGAGUGAGCGGCAAGAGCUCAGAUUUGAAAUCGUGUUUCGGCACGAGUUGUAGAGUGUAGGCUGGAGUCUCUGUGGAGCGCGGUGUCCAAGUCCCUUGGAACAGGGUGCCUGAGAGGGUGAGAGCCCCGUGGGGUGCUGCGCGAAGCUUUGAGGCCCUGCUGACGAGUCGAGUUGUUUGGGAAUGCAGCUCUAAGCGGGUGGUAAAUUCCAUCUAAGGCUAAAUAUUGGCGAGAGACCGAUAGCGAACAAGUACUGUGAAGGAAAGAUGAAAAGCACUUUGAAAAGAGAGUGAAACAGCACGUGAAAUUGUUGAAAGGGAAGGGUAUUGGGCCCGACAUGGGGAGUGCGCACCGCUGUCUCUUGUAGGCGGCGCUCUGGGCGCUCUCUGGGCCAGCAUCGGUUCUUGCUGCGAGAGAAGUGGUGCCGGAAAGUGGCUCUUCGGAGUGUUAUAGCCGGUGCCGGAUGUCGCGUGCGGGGACCGAGGGCUGCGACAUCUGUCUCGGAUGCUGGCACAACGGCGCAAUACCGCCCGUCUUGAACCACGGACCA
rnacentral:rRNA from 1 species